CGGGAUGUGGCUCAGUCUGGUAGAGCACUGCGUUCGGGACGCAGGGGUCGGAGGUUCGAAUCCUCUCAUCCCGA
rnacentral:tRNA from 1 species